ACCCACCUGCAGCUGCUCCUUCUCGUUGGUCCUGAUAACUUUGAGUUCAUUGUUGGCCACAGAGGUCUGAGACAGGUCCAAGGAGUCACCGAUCAUCGGAGAGAAGGACAUGGAGGAGCGACCGACCCGCCUGUACACGCUCAUAGAGCUCGCGCUGUUGCGGGAUGACAUUGCCCCUGGCCGGAGCACCGGAGAGCCCCGGGGAGAGGAGCUGCUCGUGCGAUAGCUGGAGGCGGAGAACCUGGGAGAGUCCCCGAAAAUCUUUCGAUAGGAUGAGGAGGUGUAGCGGUCACCGUGGUUCAUCUUCGCUACAUUUCUUGUGUGGAACCGUGGACGCAGGGAUAACCCAUCUUUGUCUAACUGCGUCAUUCACCGGACAUGAAAGCCGGUGAACUCCACAGUGAAGAAAGCUCACUGUCCAAUAACUGAAGCCCAUGGCAAGGCAAGCUCUCGUAAUUGAAGAUGCAACAGCACCCCUCUACCAGCAGGGGGAACAGCAGGACAACACAACAGAAGGUAACACCUCUGUCCAUACUUCAUGGAGAAGAAUUUUCAUUGAACUUUCAAACAGCAAAAUAAAUUUGACUUUCUAAUUCAUCAAA